rnacentral:tRNA from 1 species
GCAGUAUUCCCAUAAUGGUAUUGGAACGGUUUGCUAAACCGUCGGGCGUUAAUUCGCCUUGCAGGUUCGACUCCUGCAUACUGCG